CGGUGUUUAACUGGCGUGAUGUGGGACGUCCUACCGGUGGGCUUAGCCUCGCGAGGGGCGGCCCAACUAAUAUCCCGUCGCGGUGCUCUUUACUGAGUGUCGAGUCGGGCCGGUACGUUUACUUUGAACAAAUUAGAGUGCUUAAAGCAGGCUAUCCUCGCCUGAAUACUGCGUGCAUGGAAUAAUGGAAUAGGACCUCGGUUCUAUUUUGUUGGUUUUCGGAACCCCGAGGUAAUGAUUAAUAGGGACAGAUGGGGGCAUUCGUAUUGCGACGUUAGAGGUGAAAUUCUUGGAUCGUCGCAAGACGGACAGAAGCGAAAGCAUUUGCCAAAAAUGUUUUCAUUAAUCAAGAACGAAAGUUAGAGGUUCGAAGGCGAUCAGAUACCGCCCUAGUUCUAACCAUAAACGAUGCCAGCUAGCGAUCCGCCGAAGUUCCUCCGAUGACUCGGCGGGGCAGCUUCCGGGAAACCAAAGCUUUUGGGUUCCGGGGGAAGUAUGGUUGCAAAGCUGAAACUUAAAGGAAUUGACGGAAGGGCACCACCAGGAGUGGAGCCUGCGGCUUAAUUUGACUCAACACGGGAAACCUCACCAGGCCCAGACACCGGAAGGAUUGACAGAUUGAUAGCUCUUUCUUGAUUCGGUGGGUGGUGGUGCAUGGCCGUUCUUAGUUGGUGGAGCGAUUUGUCUGGUUAAUUCCGAUAACGAACGAGACUCUAGCCUGCUAAAUAGGCGUACCUUAUGGUAUCGCGAAGGCCCCCGGCUUCGGCCGGUGGGUUUUUACUACCAACGUACAAACAAAUCUUCUUAGAGGGCACAGGCGG
rnacentral:rRNA from 1 species